rnacentral:rRNA from 1 species
AGCUCCAAUAGCGUAUAUUUAAGUUGUUGCAGUUAAAAAGCUCGUAGUUGGAUUUCGGGUGUCAUCUGCCGGUCCGCCGUUUCGGUGUGCACUGGCGGGCGUCGCCUUUCUGUCGAGGACGCGCUCCUGUCCUUUAUUGGUCGGGACGCGGAGUCGGCGAGGUUACUUUGAAAAAAUUAGAGUGUUCAAAGCGGGCUUACGCUUGAAUAUAUUAGCAUGGAAUAACACUAUAGGACUCCUGUUCUAUUUUGUUGGUCUUCGGGACGGGAGUAAUGAUUAAGAGGAACAGUUGGGGGCAUUCGUAUUUCAUUGUCAGAGGUGAAAUUCUUGGAUUUAUGAAAGACGAACUUCUGCGAAAGCAUUUGCCAAGGAUGUUUUCAUUA